CGGACGGGUGAGUAACACGUGGAUAACCUACCUAUAAGACUGGGAUAACUUCGGGAAACCGGAGCUAAUACCGGAUAAUAUAUUGAACCGCAUGGUUCAAUAGUGAAAGANGGUUUUGCUGUCACUUAUAGAUGGAUCCGCGCCGCAUUAGCUAGUUGGUAAGGUAACGGCUUACCAAGGCAACGAUGCGUAGCCGACCUGAGAGGGUGAUCGGCCACACUGGAACUGAGACACGGUCCAGACUCCUACGGGAGGCAGCAGAC
rnacentral:rRNA from 1 species